rnacentral:tRNA from 1 species
UGGGGCAUAGUAUAAUGGCAGUACGUCGGUCUCUGGAUCCGAAGAUCAAGGUUCGAAUCCUUGUGCCCCAG